rnacentral:rRNA from 1 species
CCUACGGGAGGCAGCAGUGAGGAAUAUUGGUCAAUGGGCUUACGCCUGAACCAGCCAAGUCGCGUGAGGGAAGACUGCCCUAUGGGUUGUAAACCUCUUUUGUCAGGGAGCAAUUGGCGCUACGUGUAGCGUUAUCGAGAGUACCUGAAGAAAAAGCAUCGGCUAACUCUGUGCAAGCAGCCGCGGUAAUACGGGGGAUGCGAGCGUUAUCCGGAUUUUUUGGGUUUAAAGGGUCCGUACGCGGAAUGCACAGCCAGCGGUAAAAUCUCGGGGCUAAACCUCGCUCCGCUGUUGAAACUGGCUGUCUUGAGUGGACGAGAGGUAUGCGGAAUGCGUGGUGGAGCGGUGAAAUGCAUAGAUAUCACGCAGAACUCCGAUUGCGAAGGCAGCAUACCGGCGCCCAACUGACGCUGAAGCACGAAAGCGUGGGUAUCGAACAGGAUUAGAUACCCUUGUAGUC